CCUACGGGUGGCUGCAGUGGGGAAUUUUCCGCAAUGGGCGAAAGCCUGACGGAGCAAUACCGCGUGAGGGAGGAAGGCUCUUGGGUUGUAAACCUCUUUUCUCAGGGAAUAAUCAGUUGAAGGUACCUGAGGAAUCAGCAUCGGCUAACUCCGUGCCAGCAGCCGCGGUAAUACGGAGGAUGCAAGCGUUAUCCGGAAUGAUUGGGCGUAAAGGGUCCGCAGGUGGUUUUUCAAGUCGGCUGUUAAAGAAUCUGGCUCAACUAGAUAAAGGCAGU
rnacentral:rRNA from 1 species